CUUAAAUCCAUCGAGCUAGUUCUGAAUUCAUUCUCACUCAUCGACCAAUUUCAACUGUUGUACUGCUUGGCUAUGGAAAGGUAAUCCGUGCACAAGACAGGCAUUAAAAGGAUAUAAAUGUGGACACAGCACAAGGCCCUGCUUCCAAACACAGUCAUAUUCUGACGUGCUGGGGUUUAGACUAUAACAUAUGAAUUUGAGAGGACACAAUUUGGCUGAUGACAGCAUGCAUGGCUUCGAAGUCCUACUUCAGAGGAUCUCCAGGCUGCUUAAAGACAUAUAAGAAACACGGACUGAUUCUCAAAGCCAUAAACAAGAAUUCUAUCAAUUCUCCUUACGUUGUGGUAAAAUUCUUACCUUUUCUUUUUUCCUUUCUUUUCUCUUAUACCUGGCUGCUACCUCAUUGAUUCCCUUUUACUCUAGUGAUAGCUGUCUCUAUUUUCUGAGUUCAAGUUCCUGAUCUGACUUUGGAAAUGUACCACAAUGACUACCACAUCUUUUAAUUAAUCAAAAUACCUCCUUCUCCAAUUGUUCUUAAAAAAAACUCUGCAAUUUGGACAUGGUCCUUAUCUAUUAGAUACUAAACUUGAUCCUGAGAUUAAUGCCAUAUUCUAAGAUUCCUGAAAACUGGAGUUUAUGGAGCUGGUUCUAAGAUCAACUGAGGAUAUAAUUUGGAAGGACACAUGAAUUUUUUUCUUGGUAUGUUACUCUUCUCCAAUAAACAUGUAGAGGUAAGUGCUUGAGAAAUAAAGCAAGAACUAAUACAUCUUAUACUUUAAUCUGAUAUAUUCAUACUAUGGGGAUUGGAAUUGGCCACCCCAAGAUAUGUCUCUUUGGCAUGAGGAUUAUUUGAG
rnacentral:lncRNA from 1 species